UACGUAGGGGCCGAGCGUUGUCCGGAGUUACUGGGCGUAAAGCGCGCGCAGGCGGUCCUUUAAGUCAGGGGUGAAAGCCCAGAGCUCAACUCUGGAACGGCCUUUGAAACUAGAGGACUUGGGUACGGGAGAGGUGAGUGGAAUUCCGAGUGUAGAGGUGAAAUUCGUAGAUAUUCGGAAGAACACCAGUGGCGAAGGCGGCUCACUGGCCCGUUACCGACGCUCAGGCGCGAAAGCGUGGGGAGCAAACAGG
rnacentral:rRNA from 1 species